GACGAACGCUGGCGGCGCGCUUAACACAUGCAAGUCGAGCGAGAACCAGGCCUUCGGGCCUGGGGACAGCGGCGAACGGGUGAGGAACACGUGGGUAAUCAACCCUCGGUACUGGGAUAGCCCGGGGAAACCCGGAUUAAUACCGGAUGGCCCUUCGGAUCUUCGGUUCUGAAGGAAAAGGUAGCCUCGGCCUCCGACCGAGGACGAGCCCGCGGCGGAUUAGCUUGUUGGUGGGGUAACGGCCUACCAAGGCGGCGAUCCGUAGCUGGUCUGAGAGGACGAUCAGCCACACUGGGACUGAGACACGGCCCAGACUCCUACGGGAGGCAGCAGUGGGGAAUCUUGCGCUAAUGCGGGAAACCGUGACGCAGCGACGCCGCGUGAGGGAAGAAGGCCUUCGGGUUGUAAACCUCUUUCAGGAGGGACGAAGCUACUCGGGUUAAUAGCCUAGAGGGUGACGGUACCUCCAGAAGAAGCCCCGGCUAACUACGUGCCAGCCGCCGCGGUAACAC
rnacentral:rRNA from 1 species